CUCACGCCCGGUCGUACU
rnacentral:snRNA from 1 species